rnacentral:rRNA from 1 species
CUGAAUAACUUUGCUGAUCACACGGUCCUAGCACCGGUGACAUAUCUUUCAAGUGUCUGCCCUAUCAACUUUCGAUGGUAGUUUAUGUGCCUACCAUGGUGGUAACGGGUAACGGAGAAUAAGGGUUCGACUCCGGAGAGGGAGCCUGAGAAAUGGCUACCACAUCCAAGGAAGGCAGCAGGCGCGCAAAUUACCCACUCUCAGCACGAGGAGGUAGUGACGAAAAAUAACGAGAUGGUUCUCUAUGAGGCCCAUCAUCGGAAUGGGUACAAUUUAAACCCUUUAACGAGGAUCUAUUGGAGGGCAAGUCUGGUGCCAGCAGCCGCGGUAAUUCCAGCUCCAAUAGCAUAUACCAAUUCUGUUGCUGUUAAAAA